UGUGUUCCCUCUGUGUGCUGCCCCAUCUCUGCACAAAUAGCUGACGCAGCAGACCCCAAGAGAACCCCCAAAGACCACACACUCUAGUAAGAAAAAUACUUCUGCUUGAAAUUCAUAGUGGCAGACAUGUCAUGUUGUGAACCAUCAAGCCCACAUCUAGCAAGCAUUUUGCAGAUGCUCACAGGCUGGUUGUGAUUUUUCUCCAAAGAAAUGUAUUCAAGCAAAGGAAGUCAUGCAC